GACGAACGCUGGCGGCGUGCUUAACACAUGCAAGUCGAGCGGUAAGGCCCGUUUCGGGGGUACACGAGCGGCGAACGGGUGAGUAACACGUGGGUGACCUGCCCUCAGCUCUGGGAUAAGCCGUGGGAAACCGGGUCUAAUACCGGAUAUGACUCCAUGACGCAUGUUGUGGGGUGGAAAGCCUUGUGCGGCUGAGGAUGGGCCCGCGGCCUAUCAGCUUGUUGGUGGGGUGAUGGCCUACCAAGGCGAAGACGGGUAGCUGGUCUGAGAGGAUGAUCAGCCACACUGGAACUGAGACACGGUCCAGACUCCUACGGGA
rnacentral:rRNA from 1 species